AGCAGUCGCCGCGGUAAUACAGAGGGUGCAAGCGUUAAUCGGAAUUACUGGGCGUAAAGCGCGCGUAGGUGGUUUGUUAAGUUGAAUGUGAAAUCCCCGGGCUCAACCUGGGAACUGCAUCCAAAACUGGCAAGCUAGAGUAGGGCAGAGGGUGGUGGAAUUUCCUGUGUAGCGGUGAAAUGCGUAGAUAUAGGAAGGAACACCAGUGGCGAAGGCGACCACCUGGGCUCAUACUGACACUGAGGUGCGAAAGCGUGGGGAGCAAACAGGAUUAGAUACCCCUGUAGUCCCUGUCUCUUAUAC
rnacentral:rRNA from 1 species